AUUGAACGCUGGCGGCAGGCCUAACACAUGCAAGUCGAACGAGUGGCGGACGGGUGAGUAAUGUCUGGGAAACUGCCUGAUGGAGGGGGAUAACUACUGGAAACGGUAGCUAAUACCGCAUAACAUCAUAUGUGCCCAGAUGGGAUUAGCUAGUGGGGGGGGUAACGGCUCACCAAGGCGACGAUCCCUAGCUGGUCUGAGAGGAUGACCAGCCACACUGGGACUGAGACACGGCCCAGACGCCUACGGGAGGCAGCAGUGGGGAAUAUUGGACAAUGGGCGAAAGCCUGAUGCAGCCAUGCCGCGUGUAUGAAGAAGGCCUUCGGGUUGUAAAGUACUUUCAGCGGGGAGGCGGUACCUGCAGAAGAAGCACCGGCUAACUCCGUGCCAGCAGCCGCGGUAAUUC
rnacentral:rRNA from 1 species